rnacentral:rRNA from 1 species
GAGCUUCCGGGAUGCAUGACGACUCUAAGUGGGCCAUCUUUGGUAAGCAGAACUGGCGCUAAGCUGCUCGACUGCUCGCUCAUCAGAUGCCACAAAAGGGUGUCGGCUCAUCUUGACAGCGGGACGGUGGUCACGGAAGUCGAGAUCCGCCAAGGAGCGUGUAACCACUCACCCGCCGAGUGG